GCGGACGCCCCAACCCCGUGGCCCCCUCGAACCCCACGUGCUUCCUAAAAACACCUAGAACCGUUCCAUUACCUUUAGUACCACGCUCGGCUCAGGCCCAUCCUCAGCUCAGAGCGCGGUAGCACUGUCCUCCCGCCCCAGAGGUUUAAGGCCUGGCUAAACUCCGCCCCCCCCACCGCUCUGGCCAAUCAGGAGCCACGUCCUCCGGCGCGCUCCUUUCCCGCCCCGCCUCCCGUCUCCAUGGGAACGAUCUGAGUGUCUACUCCGCGUCCUGGGGCGUCGGUUUCGGUCCCGCCCGGCUGCGGCCGUUGUUUGCUGGGACAGUCCUUGGGCCGGUCUCCGUCCCUGUCCAGAGGCUCCGUACGUGAGGCGGACUCUCGGGAGCACCGAGCCGGGCGCGGAUAAGGAACGGGGGCAGAAAAGGAGGACCAGGGGCCGAGAAGCCGCUCUGGCUACGAAAUCUCAGACACCGUUGGCAUUUGCAGUUCACACCCAGUUAGUACGUGAGGACUGCAGUGAGUGUGGAAAUUUCAAGUCUCGCCCAGUCUUCUAUUCUUCCCCCCCAGCUCAGCCUUCUCGACCCUCCACCCUUCCCCAAAAAAGGAGCACAAAGGAGCAAGCAGGGGUCACGCCUUUCCUCACAGUCUGACCCGGGUGAGUAGGGGUCUUGUCUCAUCUCCCUCGACUUCUCCAUGGACUGUGGGAGUAGCUGAAGUGGCUGUGGGGACGGAGGGAGCAGACUGAAUAGAAACCGUUCCUCAUGUGCCUGAGAAGCUUUCGAGCCUCCUCUUCAG
rnacentral:lncRNA from 1 species